UACAGAGGUCUCAAGCGUUGUUCGGAUUCAUUGGGCGUAAAGGGUGCGUAGGUGGCGCUGUAAGUCGGGUGUGAAAUUUCGGAGCUUAACUCCGAAACUGCAUUCGAUACUGCGGUGCUUGAGGACUGGAGGGGAGACUGGAAUUCAUGGUGUAGCAGUGAAAUGCGUAGAGAUCAUGAGGAAGACCAGUGGCGAAGGCGGGUCUCUGGACAGUUCCUGACACUGAGGCACGAAGGCCAGGGGAGCAAACGGG
rnacentral:rRNA from 1 species